rnacentral:rRNA from 1 species
CCGAAUGGGGAAACCCAGUGUGAUUCGUCACACUAUCAUUAACUGAAUCCAUAGGUUAAUGAGGCGAACCGGGGGAACUGAAACAUCUAAGUACCCCGAGGAAAAGAAAUCAACCGAGAUUCCCCCAGUAGCGGCGAGCGAACGGGGAGGAGCCCAGAGCCUGAAUCAGCAUGUGUGUUAGUGGAAGCGUCUGGAAAGGCGCGCGAUACAGGGUGACAGCCCCGUACACAAAAGCGCAUGUGCUGUGAGCUCGAUGAGUAGGGCGGGACACGUGGUAUCCUGUCUGAAUAUGGGGGGACCAUCCUCCAAGGCUAAAUACUCCUGACUGACCGAUAGUGAACCAGUACCGUGAGGGAAAGGCGAAAAGAACCCCGGCGAGGGGAGUGAAAAAGAACCUGAAACCGUGUACGUACAAGCAGUGGGAGCACAGGUUUACCUGUGUGACUGCGUACCUUUUGUAUAAUGGGUCAGCGACUUAUAUUCUGUAGCAAGGUUAACCGUAUAGGGGAGCCGGAGGGAAACCGAGUCUUAAUUGGGCGUUAAGUUGCAGGGUAUAGACCCGAAACCCGGUGAUCUAGCCAUGGGCAGGUUGAAGGUUGGGUAACACUAACUGGAGGACCGAACCGACUAAUGUUGAAAAAUUAGCGGAUGACCUGUGGCUGGGGGUGAAAGGCCAAUCAAACCGGGAGAUAGCUGGUUCUCCCCGAAAGCUAUUUAGGUAGCGCCUCGUGAAUUCAUCUCCGGGGGUAGAGCACUGUUUCGGCUAGGGGGCCAUCCCGGCUUACCAACCCGAUGCAAACUGCGAAUACCGGAGAAUGUUAUCACGGGAGACACACGGCGGGUGCUAACGUCCGUCGUGAAGAGGGAAACAACCCAGACCGCCAGCUAAGGUCCCAAAGUCAUGGUUAAGUGGGAAACGAUGUGGGAAGGCCCAGACAGCCAGGAUGUUGGCUUAGAAGCAGCCAUCAUUUAAAGAAAGCGUAAUAGCUCACUGGUCGAGUCGGCCUGCGCGGAAGAUGUAACGGGGCUAAACCAUGCACCGAAGCUGCGGCAGCGANNUGCUGGAGGUAUCAGAAGUGCGAAUGCUGACAUAAGUAACGAUAAAGCGGGUGAAAAGCCCGCUCGCCGGAAGACCAAGGGUUCCUGUCCAACGUUAAUCGGGGCAGGGUGAGUCGACCCCUAAGGCGAGGCCGAAAGGCGUAGUCGAUGGGAAACGGGUUAAUAUUCCCGUACUUGGUGUUACUGCGAAGGGGGGACGGAGAAGGCUAUGUUGGCCGGGCGACGGUUGUCCCGGUUUAAGCGUGUAGGUGUGUGUUCCAGGUAAAUCCGGUUCACUUUAACACUGAGGCGUGACGACGAGGCACUACGGUGCUGAAGCAACAAAUGCCCUGCUUCCAGGAAAAGCCUCUAAGCAUCAGGUAACAUCAAAUCGUACCCCAAACCGACACAGGUGGUCAGGUAGAGAAUACCAAGGCGCUUGAGAGAACUCGGGUGAAGGAACUAGGCAAAAUGGUGCCGUAACUUCGGGAGAAGGCACGCUGACACGUAGGUGAAGUGAUUUACUCAUGGAGCUGAAGUCAGUCGAAGAUACCAGCUGGCUGCAACUGUUUAUUAAAAACACAGCACUGUGCAAACACGAAAGUGGACGUAUACGGUGUGACGCCUGCCCGGUGCCGGAAGGUUAAUUGAUGGGGUCAGCGCAAGCGAAGCUCCUGAUCGAAGCCCCGGUAAACGGCGGCCGUAACUAUAACGGUCCUAAGGUAGCGAAAUUCCUUGUCGGGUAAGUUCCGACCUGCACGAAUGGCGUAAUGAUGGCCAGGCUGUCUCCACCCGAGACUCAGUGAAAUUGAACUCGCUGUGAAGAUGCAGUGUACCCGCGGCAAGACGGAAAGACCCCGUGAACCUUUACUAUAGCUUGACACUGAACAUUGAGCCUUGAUGUGUAGGAUAGGUGGGAGGCUUUGAAGUGUGGACGCCAGUCUGCAUGGAGCCGACCUUGAAAUACCACCCUUUAAUGUUUGAUGUUCUAACGUGGACCCGUAAUCCGGGUUGCGGACAGUGUCUGGUGGGUAGUUUGACUGGGGCGGUCUCCUCCUAAAGAGUAACGGAGGAGCACGAAGGUUGGCUAAUCCUGGUCGGACAUCAGGAGGUUAGUGCAAUGGCAUAAGCCAGCUUGACUGCGAGCGUGACGGCGCGAGCAGGUGCGAAAGCAGGUCAUAGUGAUCCGGUGGUUCUGAAUGGAAGGGCCAUCGCUCAACGGAUAAAAGGUACUCCGGGGAUAACAGGCUGAUACCGCCCAAGAGUUCAUAUCGACGGCGGUGUUUGGCACCUCGAUGUCGGCUCAUCACAUCCUGGGGCUGAAGUAGGUCCCAAGGGUAUGGCUGUUCGCCAUUUAAAGUGGUACGCGAGCUGGGUUUAGAACGUCGUGAGACAGUUCGGUCCCUAUCUGCCGUGGGCGCUGGAGAACUGAGGGGGGCUGCUCCUAGUACGAGAGGACCGGAGUGGACGCAUCACUGGUGUUCGGGUUGUCAUGCCAAUGGCACUGCCCGGUAGCUAAAUGCGGAAGAGAUAAGUGCUGAAAGCAUCUAAGCACGAAACUUGCCCCGAGAUGAGUUCUCCCUGAGACUU